UCCCUGGCCACUAUCUGCCUGACAAGGUUACACCGAGGAUGUGAACUACAACAGCCAGCUCACAGCCUGGGCACAGCGCUGGCUACAUGCAGAGUGAGCCCAAACCUGCUCCCGCCCCCAGCUGUGUUGGAGCAACAAACCCCUGGGAGUUCACGAGGGCUCUGAGAGCUGCCCAGAGGGUCUAUGAAACUUCUUGUAAAGUCUGAGAUUUCCCCUCUCCUCCCCAGUGACAUGAACAAAGAGACUCACCAUUCUCUGCACGAUGCGCCGCUGGAAGUGAAUAACAGGAGAGAAGCAGUAACUGGCCAGGAGAAGGAGAACAGCCAGGAGAGCCAGGAUCACCCAUAGAGCCACCAUCCAGGGAUUGACUCGGGGGAAAAACAGCUCUGCAAGAGAAAGUGCCAUUGACUUGGGAGCAAACACGCGCAGAAUGAAGGCAGGACACUGUGACAGUGGUGACACUGGGACUACUUACAAGACUCGCACAGGGAAAUACACAGGGAGAUGUGGCUGCUUUGUGCUUUAUUAUUAAGCCGAUGAAAACCCAAACUUUAG